AGCGAACGCUGGCGGCAGGCUUAACACAUGCAAGUCGAGCGGGCCUUUCGGGGUCAGCGGCGGACGGGUGAGUAACGCGUGGGAACGUGCCCUCUGGUUCGGAAUAACUCAGGGAAACUUGAGCUAAUACCGGAUACGCCCUUUUGGGGAAAGGCUUGCUGCCGGAGGAUCGGCCCGCGUCUGAUUAGCUAGUUGGUGAGGUAACGGCUCACCAAGGCGACGAUCAGUAGCUGGUCUGAGAGGAUGAUCAGCCAUACUGGGACUGAGACACGGCCCAGACUCCUACGGGAGGCAGCAGUGGGGAAUAUUGGACAAUGGGCGCAAGCCUGAUCCAGCCAUGCCGCGUGAGUGAUGAAGGCCUUAGGGUUGUAAAGCUCUUUUAUCCGGGACGAUAAUGACGGUACCGGAGGAAUAAGCCCCGGCUAACUUCGUG
rnacentral:rRNA from 1 species